rnacentral:rRNA from 1 species
CCUACGGGAGGCAGCAGUGCGGAAUAUUGGUCAAUGGACGAGAGUCUGAACCAGCCAAGUAGCGUGAAGGAUGACUGCCCUAUGGGUUGUAAACUUCUUUUAUAUGGUAAUAAAAUGUUCCACGUGUGGGAUUUUGUAUGUACCAUAUGAAUAAAGAUCGGCUAACUCCGUGCCAGCAGCCUCGGUAAUACGGAGGAUCCGAUCGUUAUCCGGAUUUAUUGGGUUUAAAGGGAGCGUAGGUGGAUUGUUAAGUCAGUUGUGAAAGUUUGCGGCUCAACCGUAAAAUUGCAGUUGAAACUGGCAGUCUUGAGUACAGUAGAGGUGGGCGGAAUUCGUGGUGUAGCGGUGAAAUGCUUAGAUAUCACGAAGAACUCCGAUUGCGAAGGCAGUUCACUGGACUGCAACUGACACUGAGGCUCGAAAGUGUGGGUAUCAAACAGGAUUAGAUACCCGGGUAGUC